UCCUACGGGGGGCAGCAGUGGGGAAUAUUGGACAAUGGGCGCAAGCCUGAUCCAGCCAUGCCGCGUGAGUGAUGACGGCCUUAGGGUUGUAAAGCUCUUUCGCCAGGGACGAUAAUGACGGUACCUGGAUAAGAAGCCCCGGCUAACUUCGUGCCAGCAGCCGCGGUAAUACGAAGGGGGCUAGCGUUGUUCGGAAUCACUGGGCGUAAAGCGCACGUAGGCGGAUCUUUAAGUCAGAGGUGAAAUCCCAAGGCUCAACCUUGGAACUGCCUUUGAUACUGGGGAUCUCGAGUUCGGGAGAGGUGAGUGGAACUGCGAGUGUAGAGGUGAAAUUCGUAGAUAUUCGCAAGAACACCAGUGGCGAAGGCGGCUCACUGGCCCGAUACUGACGCUGAGGUGCGAAAGCGUGGGGAGCAAACAGGAUUAGAUACCCUAGUAGUCGU
rnacentral:rRNA from 1 species